rnacentral:lncRNA from 1 species
AGAUCUUUGGGGCCAGCAGAACAGUAUUGGAGAACAUCCAGGAGCAAGCUUGCCAAAUGUACAUAGUCUCCUGCCAACUGUGACUAGAGAUGGAUAGCUGGAGCCACUGAGUCACUGAGGAUUCUGGGGACUCAGCAGGAAUGAGUGAUAGACUGAGGGGCAAGCAAGGACAAGCUACAGUUCACACUCUGCCACUCAACAGGACCCCUUCCCACUGCUAAAUUCCAGGAGCGGUUGGAAAGUUAAAGAAGGGGCCUGCAAGAUAGCUCAGCAGAGAGAGAUGCUUGUACCAGCAGAACCACCUGAUUUAAUCCCAAAGACCUCUGUGAAGGCUGAUGGAGAGAACUGAGUCCUGCAGCUUAUCCUCUAACCUCCACAUAAACAGACAUACACAAUGAAUAAAUAAAUGUAACAAGACUUU